AAUGAACGCUGGCGGCGUGCCUAACACAUGCAAGUCGAGCGCGAAAGUCUCUUCGGAGAUGAGUAAAGCGGCGGACGGGUGAGUAACACGUGAGAACUUGCCUUUUGGUGGAGAAUACCUUCGAGAAAUUGAGGUUAAUACUGCAUAAGUCCCUCCGGGGAGAAAGAUGGCUUUAUGCUAUCGCCAGAAGAUAGGCUUGCGGACUAUUAGCUAGUUGGUGGGGAAAGGCCUACCAAGGCAAUGAUGGUUAACCGGCCUGAGAGGGUGAACGGUCACAUUGGAACUGAGACACGGUCCAAACUCCUACGGGAGGCAGCAGUGAGGAAUAUUGCGCAAUGGGCGAAAGCCUGACGCAGCGACGCCGCGUGAAGGAUGAAGGUCUUCGGAUCGUAAACUUCUGUUGA
rnacentral:rRNA from 1 species